rnacentral:rRNA from 1 species
CGCGUAGGCGGCUCACUAAGUCGGAUGUGAAAACUCUGGGCUCAACGCAGAGCCUGCAUCCGAAACUGGUGGGCUAGGGUACUGGAGGGGAAAGCGGAAUUCCUGGUGUAGCGGUGAAAUGCGUAGAUAUCAGGAGGAACACCGGUGGCGAAGGCGGCUUUCUGGACAGUAACCGACGCUGAGGCGCGAAAGCUAGGGGAGCAAACA